GAUGAACGCUGGCGGCGUGCUUAACACAUGCAAGUCGAACGAUGAAGCCCAGCUUGCUGGGUGGAUUAGUGGCGAACGGGUGAGUAACACGUGAGUAACCUGCCCUUGACUCUGGGAUAAGCCUGGGAAACUGGGUCUAAUACUGGAUAUGACUUCUCAUCGCAUGGUGGGGGGGUGGAAAGAUUUAUUGGUCUUGGAUGGACUCGCGGCCUAUCAGCUUGUUGGUGAGGUAAUGGCUCACCAAGGCGACGACGGGUAGCCGGCCUGAGAGGGUGACCGGCCACACUGGGACUGAGACACGGCCCAGACUCCUACGGGAGGCAGCAGUGGGGAAUAUUGCACAAUGGGCGCAAGCCUGAUGCAGCGACGCCGCGUGAGGGAUGACGGCCUUCGGGUUGUAAACCUCUUUCAGUAGGGAAGAAGCGAGAGUGACGGUACCUGCAGAAGAAGCGCCGGCUAACUACGUG
rnacentral:rRNA from 1 species